rfam:Tauraco erythrolophus contig54466, whole genome shotgun sequence.
UAAUUUUCAGUCACAGUGUUGACUAAGAUUU